rnacentral:ncRNA from 2 species
CAGUUAUCACGAAAGGCGGAGGGAAUGACCCAAUGAAACCUUAGCAACCCUUUAUCUUUAAAGAAGGUGCUACAUUCUACUUUAUGUUGAACUUGUUUCAGCAUCUAAGAUAGAUAACAC